GCCUCUAGCAACAAUAGUAUUAGAGGUCCUGCCUGCCCAGUGAAAACUUUAAACGGCCGCGGUAUUCUAACCGUGCAAAGGUAGCGUAAUCACUUGUCUUCUAAAUAAAGACCAGUAUGAAUGGCUAAAUGAGGACAAACCUGUCUCCUACAACCAAUCAGUGAAACUGAUCUUCCAGUCCAAAAGCUGGAAUAUUAACAUAAGACGAGAAGACCCUGUGGAGCUUAAAACUACCUACUACCAACCACUUAACUAGUACAAAUUUUAAGUUGGGGCGACUUCGGAACAAAACAAAACUUCCGAGCACAGAACCACCACUUCUUACAAAGGCAAACAUGCCAAAGCAAAAACUGACCCAGUCAUACUGACCAACGAACCAAGUUACCCCAGGGAUAACAGCGCCAUCUUCUUCAAGAGUCCAUAUCGACAAGAAGGUUUACGACCUCGAUGUUGGAUCAGGGCACCCAAAUGGUGCAGCCGCUAUUAAAGGUUCGUUUGUUCAACGAUUAACAG
rnacentral:rRNA from 1 species